rnacentral:ncRNA from 1 species
UGAAGAAUCUUAGAUUUUCUUAAUGUUCUGGCGAACAAUCAGCAAUGCUGCAACAGGGAUGUUGCAGCAAGCAAAAGCCGUAGCAUGGACGCUGCGUCUUUUGCGGUUGCGGGCAUAGAUAAAAUGCUGGCAGAACAUUUAGAAAAUAUUAGAUUCGGA